UGGCGGAGCGGGAGGAGCCGGCGCGGAGAGGAGCUUGAGCUUCAGCACCAGGGACAGCGCCCCGCGCCUCUUCGGGCCAGACCCCGCAUGGGGCUGCGAUGAGCGGGGUGGGAGGUUCAGCACUAGGGAGAGCGGCCCAAGCCAGGUCCCCAUUGGGGCUGCGCUGAUCGGGCGGUUCAGCACCAGGGAGAGCACCCAGCCGGGCCAAGCUGCUCCGUGUCAGACCCUCACAGGGGCUGCCUGAGAGGAGAGAUUCUGCAUCAAAGAGAACGGUUCGCUCCGCUCCGGACCAGACUCUACAACUAGCCGUGUUGAGCGAGGCUGUGCAGCAGCAAGAAGAGCGCCCUGCCGGGUCAGACACCGCAGGGGCUGCGCCAAGAGGAGCGGAUCAGCACCAGCGAGACCACCCAGCGGCGGGACAGACCUACAAGGGGCUGUACUGAGCGAGGCGGUUCAGCACCAGGGAGAGCGCCCCGCGCAGGGCUCCGUAUGGGGCCGCGCUGAGCGGAGCAGGUGGUCCAGCACCACGGAGAGCGCCCGCGCCGGGCCGAUGGGGCAGCGCUGAGCGGGGCGGGGGGGCGCGGGGGCCCGGCGGGCUCCGGGCCGCCCGUGGAUGAGCACCAUGCGGCUGCUGCUGCUCGCCCUGCUCUUCUCCUCUUCCUUCGCCCGCGCCGGCUGCGACCCCAAGAUCGUCAACAUCGGCGCGGUGCUGAGCACCAAGAAGCAUGAGCAGAUCUUCCGCGAGGCGGUGAACCAGGCCAACAAGAGGCACGGCACAUGGAAGCUCCAGCUCAACGCCACCUCGGUCACGCACAAGCCCAACGCCAUCCAGAUGGCACUCUCCGUCUGCGAGGACCUCAUCUCCAGCCAGGUCUAUGCAAUAUUAGUUAGUCACCCUCCUGCUCCCAACGAUCACCUAACACCAACACCCGUAUCAUACACAGCUGGCUUCUACAGGAUCCCUGUCAUUGGUCUGACAACACGCAUGUCUAUAUAUUCUGAUAAGAGCAUCCACCUCUCCUUUUUGCGCACGGUCCCACCGUACUCUCACCAGGCCAACGUCUGGUUUGAGAUGAUGAGAGUCUUCAACUGGAAUCACGUCAUUCUGAUAGUCAGCGACGACCAUGAAGGUCGUGCUGCACAAAAGAAGCUGGAGACUCUCUUGGAGGAAAAAGAGUCCAAGAGUAAAAAAAGGAACUAUGAAAACCUCGACCAACUUUCCUAUGACAACAAGCGAGGACCCAAGGCAGAGAAAGUCCUUCAGUUUGAUCCUGGAACGAAAAACGUGACAUCGCUGCUGCUGGAGGCCAAGGAGCUGGAGGCUCGCGUCAUCAUCCUUUCUGCCAGUGAGGAUGAUGCAGCUACAGUGUACAGAUCAGCAGCCAUGCUCAAUAUGACUGGCUCCGGCUACGUGUGGCUGGUUGGGGAACGGGAGAUAUCAGGCAAUGCCCUGCGUUACGCUCCUGAUGGAGUGAUUGGUCUGCAGCUCAUCAACGGGAAGAAUGAGUCAGCCCACAUCAGUGAUGCUGUCGCGGUGGUGGCCCAGGCCGUGCACGACUUGUUUGAGAAGGAGAAUAUCACAGACCCGCCGCGGGGCUGCGUGGGCAACACCAACAUCUGGAAGACAGGACCCCUUUUCAAGAGGGUGUUGAUGUCCUCCAAGUACUCGGAGGGUGUCACUGGGCGGGUGGAGUUCAAUGAGGAUGGGGACAGGAAGUUUGCCAACUACAGCAUCAUGAACCUGCAGAAUCGGAAACUUGUCCAAGUUGGGAUUUACAAUGGCAGCCAUGUCUUGACCAAUGACAGGAAGAUUAUCUGGCCAGGAGGAGAAACCGAGAAACCUCAAGGCUAUCAGAUGUCGACCAAGUUGAAGAUCGUGACAAUCCACCAAGAGCCCUUUGUGUAUGUGAAGCCCACGCAAGCAGAUGGGACAUGCAGAGAGGAAUUCACCAUCAACGGAGAUCCUGUGAAAAAGGUCUUUUGCACUGGACCCAAUGAGACCAUCCCAGAAGUAAGAACUAUGAGGCACACUAGCUCCUGCUGCGCUGGCCGCCCCACCGUGGCACUGUGCUGCUACGGCUUCUGCAUCGACCUGCUCAUCCGACUGGCAGGGGUGAUGAACUUCACUUACGAGGUUCACCUGGUGGCUGAUGGUAAAUUUGGUACCCAAGAGCGGGUUAACAACAGCAACAAGAAGGAGUGGAACGGGAUGAUGGGGGAGUUGCUAAGCGGCCAAGCGGACAUGAUUGUGGCUCCCCUCACCAUCAACAAUGAGCGGGCACAGUACAUUGAGUUCUCCAAGCCCUUCAAGUACCAGGGCCUCACCAUCCUUGUGAAGAAGGAAAUCCCCCGCAGCACCUUGGACUCGUUCAUGCAGCCUUUCCAGAGCACCCUCUGGCUGCUGGUGGGGCUGUCGGUGCACGUGGUGGCAGUGAUGUUGUACCUCUUAGACCGAUUCAGUCCGUUUGGCCGAUUCAAAGUGAACAGUGAAGAGGAAGAGGAAGAUGCCUUGACCCUCUCCUCAGCCAUGUGGUUCUCCUGGGGAGUCCUGCUGAACUCUGGUAUCGGAGAAGGUGCUCCCCGGAGUUUCUCUGCACGCAUUCUUGGCAUGGUGUGGGCUGGCUUCGCUAUGAUCAUUGUGGCUUCAUACACUGCCAACCUGGCAGCCUUCCUGGUGUUAGACCGGCCUGAGGAGAGAAUUACAGGCAUCAACGACCCCCGGCUGCGCAACCCCUCUGAUAAGUUCAUCUAUGCCACGGUGAAGCAGAGCUCGGUGGACAUCUACUUCCGCCGGCAGGUGGAGCUGAGCACCAUGUACCGGCACAUGGAGAAGCACAACUACGAGAGCGCUGCCGAAGCCAUCCAGGCAGUGAGGGACAACAAGCUCCAUGCCUUCAUCUGGGACUCAGCGGUGCUGGAGUUUGAAGCCUCCCAGAAAUGUGACCUGGUGACGACGGGGGAGCUUUUCUUCCGCUCUGGCUUCGGGAUUGGGAUGCGCAAGGACAGCCCGUGGAAGCAGAACGUCUCCCUGGCCAUCCUCAAGUCCCACGAGAACGGCUUCAUGGAGGAUUUGGACAAGACUUGGGUGAGGUAUCAGGAGUGUGAUUCCCGUAGCAAUGCCCCAGCAACACUCACCUUUGAAAAUAUGGCAGGUGUGUUUAUGCUGGUGGCUGGAGGUAUUGUUGCCGGGAUAUUUUUAAUAUUCAUAGAAAUAGCUUACAAAAGGCAUAAGGACGCGCGGAGGAAGCAGAUGCAGCUGGCGUUUGCAGCCGUUAAUGUGUGGAGGAAAAACCUGCAGAGAGAACUGAGAAGGAGGAGCAAAUGUAUCCCCGAGCAUGCUCUACGCACCAGCGGGAUACAUUUUGGUUACCCCCGUGCGGUAGCAGAGCCAGACCUGGUCACUCCGUCCCCCGUCGGCAAGGUCACACUCAUUGGCACGAAAGCAAUUGGGGAGGACUCGUUCUCAGCGCCCGCCGCAGAGCGCGGCCGGUCCCCACGGCUCGCUGCCCCCGCACCAUGGCGGCUGGUGCUCCCAGCCUGCGCUAACCAGGAUAGAAAAAGUGGUAGAGCAGAACCUGACCCUAAAAAGAAAGCCACUUUUAGGUCCAUCACCUCCACCCUGGCCUCCAGCUUCAAGAGACGUAGGUCCUCCAAGGAUACGCCCUGCAGAAUGGUCCCUCAGGAGUGCCAGAGAGACAGGCUGGCACCAUGGAGCCAAGACAGCCCUGGGAAGCUACCACCCCACUCUGAACGUCCUAGCGCCCACCAUCACCCGAGCUGCACAGCCUCUCCGCGGCACAUCAUCCCCACCGCCCCAGGAGGAGAUGCAUGUGUUCCCCAUAGGCAGCUCCUGCAACUCGAAUAGCACUCGCAGAGCUGACGUACUGCCAUCCAUCGCAGCCACCCACGAUACUGCAACCCCACAGAAGCCAUCAAUAUCAUCCCACCGACAUCACCGGCCAGCUCAACCUCUCCGACCCCUCAGUCAGCACUGUGGUGUGACCUUCUACCCGAGGACCAUCAGUCCUUACCCAACAGAGUAGGAAGGCAUGGCCAGGACUGCCUUUCAAGGGACACUGAUGGGUUCUUCUGGGUGAGAUGGGAGGAAAGCAUCCUUCAUCCAUACACGGUGACUUCAUUGUAUAUCUCCCUCCUUUCCCAGGCCUGCUGCCAUGCUUGUGCCCUAGAACGCACGGCAGAACCAGGACACGGUUUGGACUUCACUGUACAGAGAUAAUUUCUUCCAUCCAGUGCUGCUGAUGAUCAGUUUUGCCACUGACUGGUUAUGUGCGAGGGGAAAGGACUUUGAAAGCCUGCUUGUGGUCCUGAGUGGAUGGAGCAGACAGUGCGGUUCUGCAGGUCGGGCACGCGUUCCUGCUGUGCCGAGCGACCCUUGCCUCCGCGGCAGGGGCUGGAAGAUGUGUGCUGUGCUCCUCGCCAGGGAAUGAACCUCCUGCUCCUGCCUCCCACCAGCCUGUGCUCAAGGCCCAUGGCUAUGACUCGACUCCUGUACGUGGUCUGUUUGCAGCAGGAGUGCUCCCAGCCUUGCAUCCCACGUUCCUGUGAUAGAUGUGGUACUCCGGAGCUCAUAACAUGCUGCCAGCCAAGAUCCUGGCUUCCCACCUUUCCUGCACAGAAGACAUCCCUGGGCCCUGCCAUGGCCAGCAUGUAGCUCUCACACUGUGGUUCUCCUGGCCAGGAACAUCUCCAUGGGGAAUUGUUCUGGAUGGUUGCAUUGACCUUUACCCAAGCUCCACACUGCCUCAGCACCAGCAAUGCAAGGAGAGAUACAGCUGGCUGGUUGUGGCUCGCUGUGUGCUGCAGUAUCCGCAGCGGCCACCCAGCCUGCCUGCAGGGUCAAGACACCACAGCGGGCACUGGCAGCUUCCCUGCCACACUCACCAGCGGCUCGAGCUUGCCAGUAGCUCCUGCAGCAACCCCUGCGCCCCAGUUCACACGGCUGCAUCUGCCUGAACCUGGAGACAUGGCAAACCGGAUCAGAGCUCAGGAGAAGGGAACGAAAUGAGACUGGCUGAUGCCGUUCCUCCCCACACCUUCCUCCCCUCAAGUGCCCAUGUGCCAGCAUCCCUGAGCACCCUCCUUGUGUGCACUGUGAGAGGGUGCGGAGACACCAGCGCUGGGGAAGGAUCAGCCAGGUUAGUGACGAGCAGCCACAGCACACGCACGGGCAACGUUGCAUCCUGCCUCCUGUAAAGGUGGAAAACCCACCUGCAAGGUGGUACCAAGCUCCAGCAAAACAAACUGCCUUCUCCUUGCCCCAGUCAAGCAGACGGGGCUUCCCUCUGAGGGUCGGCAGCCUCUGCAGGCAAGAUUUUCAGAAGGCAGCCGAGGUCUGUGAGCAUCACCCCACUGAAUGCAGUGGCUCCAUCAAGUUCAUCUCACUCCAGCAGAGAAAUUGGACCCAUUCUACUU